rfam:Marvinbryantia formatexigens DSM 14469 B_formatexigens-1.0.1_Cont0.1, whole genome shotgun sequence.
GGACUGCACUCUGGAGAACCCCACAAAGAGGUGGGUGCCGAAGGUGCAAAGCACACUGUGCUAAUCUCUCAGGCGAAAGGACAGAGAAUGCAAU